rnacentral:rRNA from 1 species
UUACGGUCAAAUCACGUUGAAAACACCGGUUCUCGUUCGAUCACCGAAGUUAAGCAUCGUGGAAGCCAGGUCAGUACACUCAGAUGGGGACCGCUUGGGGCACCUGGU